GUGCUAAUCCCGUAUAUCUCUAAGGAUCGCAUGAUCGUUAGAUGAAAGAUGGUUCUGCUAUCGCUUUUAGAUGGUCCCGCGGCGUAUUAGCUAGUUGGUGGGGUAACGGCCUACCAAGGCGAUGAUACGUAGCCGACCUGAGAGGUUGAUCGGCCACAUUGGGACUGAGACACGGCCCAAACUCCUACGGGAGGCAGCAGUAGGGAAUCUUCCACAAUGGACGCAAGUCUGAUGGAGCAACGCCGCGUGAGUGAAGAAGGUUUUCGGCUCGUAAAACUCUGUUGUUAGAGAAGAACACGAGUGAGAGUAACUGUUCAUUCGAUGACGGUAUCUAACCAGCAAGUCACGGCUAACUACGUGCCAGCAGCCGCGGUAAUACGUAGGUGGCAAGCGUUGUCCGGAUUUAUUGGGCGUAAAGCGAGCGCAGGCGGUCUUUUAAGUCUGAUGUGAAAGCCCUCGGCUCAACCG
rnacentral:rRNA from 2 species